UGGUGGGACUGUAGCAGUAACAGCAGGAAGAGGAAAUGAUACUUAGGAGUUUCUUCUUUGAAGAGAAAUCGGUUACAGAAGAUGCGGGAUGGUGGAAGCUGCAUGAGAAGAAACAGAAAGAAGCCAUCAGAGCAUCGUCUCCCAGAAACACAGUCGAUGCCCUAAAUAUGUGGUAACUGAGGCACAGCAGGGUGGCGACCAGCAAAUGCAGUGUUCCGUCAGUGGUCCACUCUCUCUGCAAAUGCCUGUGGAAACAAUAUGGGAUUUGAAUCAGGCCCAUUCCAGGACAGGGCAAUGCUGGAGCACAGUGCUGAAACUCAUGGGAAACCAAGGGGGCUGUUUUUGCCCUGGGCUUUGCAGCCCUGGGCUGUGCCUGGGUACAAACACCAACUUAACAUAAGUUUGAAAAUCAACUCGUUGUACCCCCAAGGACCUUGAUUUUCAGCAAGUUCUACGAGCAGCAAUAUUCAGAAAUAGCCCGAGAUGGCACCCUUCCUCCAAUGGUAUGUGAAAUGAGGAACCACAUGAAAUAAGUUGGCAACUGAGCACCUAUGAAGCCUGUGUGAGGGGCCAUGGCUAGAAACUUCUAGUCCUAGUUCCAGGGUCAGCGGAGAGCUCCCAUCACCACCCCCUUGAGGCCUCCCACGGAGAUAGAGAGUGAGAAAGUGGAUACUCAUUGAACAACUAUCUAAUAUAGUAAAAAAUAUAUAGGUUCAAUGAUCUCUA
rnacentral:lncRNA from 10 species